rnacentral:misc_RNA from 1 species
AACGCACAUGGCGCCUUCCAGUAUCCUGGGAGGCAUGCCUGUCCGAGCGUCGUUUCAACCCUCGAGCCCCUGUGGCCCGGCGUUGGGGAUCUGCCACGGCAGGCCCCUAAAACCAGUGGCGGACCCGAAGGGCCCUCUCCUUUGCGCAGUAGCAUUAGCCUCGCAUCGGGAGCCCUCGGCGUCCUGCCUCUAAACCCCCCCCAAAGCCCGCUCCGGCGGCACCAAGGUUGACCUCGGAUCAGGUAGGAAUACCCGCUGAACUUAA